UACGUAGGGGGCUAGCGUUGUCCGGAUUUAUUGGGCGUAAAGAGCGCGUAGGCGGUCCGGUAAGUCCGCUCUGAAAGUCCGGGGCUCAACCCCGGGAGGCGGGCGGAUACUGUCGGGCUAGAGUCCGGAAGAGGCGAGUGGAAUUCCUGGUGUAGCGGUGAAAUGCGCAGAUAUCAGGAGGAACACCAAGGGCGAAGGCAGCUCGCUGGGACGGUACUGACGCUAAGGCGCGAAAGCGUGGGGAGCAAACAGG
rnacentral:rRNA from 1 species